rnacentral:rRNA from 1 species
UCGAGCACGCGCAGACUUACCAACCCUUGACAUGGGUAUCGCGGGGCCGGAACGGUCCUUUCAGUUCGGCUGGAUACCACACAGGUGCUGCAUGGCUGUCGUCAGCUCGUGUCGUGAGAUGUUCGGUUAAGUCCGGCAACGAGCGCAACCCACACUUUCAGUUGCCAUCAUUCGGUUGGGCACUCUGGAAGAACUGCCGGUGAUAAGCCGGAGGAAGGUGUGGAUGACGUCAAGUCCUCAUGGCCCUUACGGGUUGGGCUACACACGUGCUACAAUGGUGGUGACAAUGGGUUAAUCCCCAAAAGCCAUCUCAGUUCGGAUUGUCGCCUGCAACUCGGCGGCAUGAAGUCGGAAUCGCUAGUAAUCGCGUAACAGCAUGACGCGGUGAAUACGUUCCCGGGC